rnacentral:rRNA from 1 species
CAUGCAAGUCGAACGCUUUGUGGUUCAACUGAUUUGAAGAGCUUGCUCAGAUAUGACGAUGGACAUUGCAAAGAGUGGCGAACGGGUGAGUAACACGUGGGAAACCUACCUCUUAGCAGGGGAUAACAUUUGGAAACAGAUGCUAAUACCGUAUAACAAUGACAACCGCAUGGUUGUUAUUUAAAAGAUGGUUCUGCUAUCACUAAGAGAUGGUCCCGCGGUGCAUUAGCUAGUUGGUAAGGUAAUGGCUUACCAAGGCGAUGAUGCAUAGCCGAGUUGAGAGACUGAUCGGCCACAAUGGGACUGAGACACGGCCCAUACUCCUACGGGAGGCAGCAGUAGGGAAUCUUCCACAAUGGGCGAAAGCCUGAUGGAGCAACGCCGCGUGUGUGAUGAAGGGUUUCGGCUCGUAAAACACUGUUGUAAGAGAAGAAUGACAUUGAGAGUAACUGUUCAAUGUGUGACGGUAUCUUACCAGAAAGGAACGGCUAAAUACGUGCCAGCAGCCGCGGUAAUACGUAUGUUCCAAGCGUUAUCCGGAUUUAUUGGGCGUAAAGCGAGCGCAGACGGUUAUUUAAGUCUGAAGUGAAAGCCCUCAGCUCAACUGAGGAAUUGCUUUGGAAACUGGAUGACUUGAGUGCAGUAGAGGAAAGUGGAACUCCAUGUGUAGCGGUGAAAUGCGUAGAUAUAUGGAAGAACACCAGUGGCGAAGGCGGCUUUCUGGACUGUAACUGACGUUGAGGCUCGAAAGUGUGGGUAGCAAACAGGAUUAGAUACCCUGGUAGUCCACACCGUAAACGAUGAGUGCUAGGUGUUUGAGGGUUUCCGCCCUUAAGUGCCGCAGCUAACGCAUUAAGCACUCCGCCUGGGGAGUACGACCGCAAGGUUGAAACUCAAAGGAAUUGACGGGGACCCGCACAAGCGGUGGAGCAUGUGGUUUAAUUCGAAGCAACGCGAAGAACCUUACCAGGUCUUGACAUCCCUUGACAACUCCAGAGAUGGAGCGUUCCCUUCGGGGACAAGGUGACAGGUGGUGCAUGGUUGUCGUCAGCUCGUGUCGUGAGAUGUUGGGUUAAGUCCCGCAACGAGCGCAACCCUUAUUACUAGUUGCCAGCAUUCAGUUGGGCACUCUAGUGAGACUGCCGGUGACAAACCGGAGGAAGGUGGGGAUGACGUCAAAUCAUCAUGCCCCUUAUGACCUGGGCUACACACGUGCUACAAUGGCGUAUACAACGAGUUGCCAACCCGCGAGGGUGAGCUAAUCUCUUAAAGUACGUCUCAGUUCGGAUUGUAGGCUGCAACUCGCCUACAUGAAGUCGGAAUCGCUAGUAAUCGCGGAUCAGCACGCCGCGGUGAAUACGUUCCCGGGUCUUGUACACACCGCCCGUCACACCAUGAGAGUUUGUAACACCCAAAGCCGGUGGGGUAACCUUCGGGAGCCAGCCG